AAAGCGAAGCGUUUGGUUCGUUCCACGGGCCGCGGCAACUCCGUUUCUAUAUGCGCAGAAAUCAUAAUAUUGAGAACAGAGCAAUCUUGUUCAAAACCCCCCACCAAAUAGCGAUUGCUCAGUUUAUGUUGUUCAGUGGUGGUGUGUGCAUCGUUCGAUAAACCAAAUUCUACGCAAUUGAUCUGUAAGAAACUAAUCCAACACUCAGUUUUUAGCAAGGGCGCAAGAAACGAAGAAACUUUUCAGUAGUUGCAAGUUUCUUAGGACAAAUGAGAAGUUACACUGGCAUGAAAUUUUAGAAAGAAAGGAUUUCAAAUGAAUCAGGAACGUAAAUAUAAAAGCAUUUAACUACAAAACUAAAAAGGUUCCUACCAAGUUGAAAGUUUCUUAGGACCAUUAAAACAAUGAAAAAUUAAACCGGAAUGUCAUUUUAUGAGGAAAGGAUAG